rnacentral:rRNA from 1 species
AGCGAACGCUGGCGGCAGGCCUAACACAUGCAAGUCGAACGGCCCUUUCGUGGUUGGUGGCGGACGGGUGAGUAACACGUGGGAACGUGCAUUUAGGCUCGGAAUAACUCAGGGUAGCUUGUGCUAAUACCGGAUGUGCCCUUCGGGGGACAGAUUUAUCGCCUUUAGAGCGGCACGCGUCGGUCUAGCUAGUUGAUUGAGGUAAUGGCUCACCAAGGCGACGAUCAGUAGCUGGUCUGAGAGGAUGAGCAGACACAUUGGGACGGAGACACGGCCCAAAAUACUACGGGAGGCAGCAGUGGGGAAUCCUGCGAAAUGGGCGAAAGCCAGACGGCGCCAGGCCGGGUGAAUGAUGAAGGUCGGAGGAUUGUAAAAUUCUUUCACACGGCACGAUAAUGACGGUACCCGGAGAAGAAGCCCCGGCUAACUUCGUG